AGUAACAGCAGUACAAGCUGGGAUAUGUUGAGUGUGGGCUCCUUGUACUGUACCAGUACAUAAGGGGAUGUGCACGGUGAUUCCGGGGAGCCUCACCAUCCUUGAGUGACUCUGCUGGGGCCUACAGUCAGUGCCCACCAUGAUGGGAGUCGCCUGUGCUCUGUGAUGUGAAGGGAAGAAGCUGGCUACUGCUCAGAGGAAAUUGUGGAGAGGGUCAGGCAGAGUGAGCCAGCCUGGUGAGAGUCUGGUUCUGCAGAGAAAUGAUGCUGAUAUUUCUUG